AUUUUCAAAAUUACAGUUUCAUAACCAUAGCUUUUAACAUUUAAUGUACUUACGUAUGUUUCUAUAUUCAUGGUGUUUAUUUCAUUAGAAAACUAUGUAGGCUUGGCAAUAUUUUAAAUAUAUUUUCUUGAUUAUUUCAUUUAUAUUGUUAAAUAAGAGAUCAUUUUUUCAAUGUGACUCAUUUAUUUAUGUGAAUAAUGCAUGUUACGAUUUAUUUUAGGGAAAUUUACACCCGUCCACCUGUUUGUUUUGCAUUUUUCAAAAAUACACAAACACUUUUUUUUUUCAAUACGCCACCUGAAGUUUGUUUUUUGUUGCAUUCAUCCACUUCCGUCUAAUUUCCGUUAGUGGAUUUAAUGGAAUGUUAACGAAAUGACCUUUUUACCCCUCAAAAUUACAAUUUAACCCAAAAUAAAUGGAAAUUGGAGAUAAAUUGGAUGGAUUUAAUUUUUUUUCAAAGGUGGAUGCUAGAAAUUGGAGGAAAAUAGUGUUUGAUACUU
rnacentral:lncRNA from 1 species